rnacentral:piRNA from 1 species
GAAAAAAGUCCUUACGAAUCUUACCGGGC